rnacentral:tRNA from 1 species
AGACACAUAGUUCAGCUGGUUAGAACAUCACGUUGACAUCGUGGAGGUCACUGGUUCAAAUCCGGUUGUGUCUA